rnacentral:rRNA from 1 species
UGGGGAAUAUUGCACAAUGGAGGGAACUCUGAUGCAGCGACGCCGCGUGAACGAAGAAGGCUUUCGAGUCGUAAAGUUCUUUUAUAUGGGAAGAUAAUGACGGUACCAUAAGAAAAAGCCCCGGCUAACUACGUGCCAGCAGCCGCGGUAAUACGUAGGGGGCUAGCGUUGUCCGGAAUCACUGGGCGUAAAGGGUUCGCAGGCGGAAAUGCAAGUCAGGUGUAAAAGGCAGUAGCUUAACUACUGUAAGCAUUUGAAACUGCAUAUCUUGAGAAGAGUAGAGGUAAGUGGAAUUUUUAGUGUAGCGGUGAAAUGCGUAGAUAUUAGGAAGAACACCAGUGGCGAAGGCGACUCUCUGGUCUGUAACUGACGCUGAGGUUCGAAAGCGUGGGUAGCAAACAGG